UGUCUGUCUGUCUGUCUGUCUGUCUGUCUGUCUGUCUGUGGAAUCUACUGCAAAUGCUUGGUUGGUUAUCUCUGGCUCCAAUUAAAGGGUGUCUAUAGGGAAGAUUAUGAGGUCCAGAAGACUGUCCUUGAACAUGGAGACAAGAAGUCUGUUUGAUGUGGUUUGAUAAUGCAACUUCAUCAGAAUGGAGGCUGGCCAAUCAUGAUGGAGUCAUUCAAGACUUUAGAAUGGAUUUACCAUCCAUCUUCCCUGUUUACACAGUCAUGAAGAUGUGCAGUGUGCCAUGCCA